AUCCCAUUCCCCACGACAUCAAACUACCGCGAGAUGCAGCCCUGCCUCGAUCUGCAUGCAGUGUGGAUCCCGCGAGAUUUCAUUCAGCAAUUCCCAUCCCCCACGCAGCACGCGCUGCAUCGCGCCGACGCCAUUAACGUUACUACGGCUUAUAGCAGAGAAGCUAACGUUAGUGUAAAUAAGAAAGUAAAGGACGGUUUUGGAUGUUGAUGCAGUGGAGCAGAAAUUGGCAGACCCCAGAAACAAGUGGUUCCUGUAGUGGCAGUACUGUGGAUGAAGCCACGAGAAGAAUGAGGGCCUUCCUUUUGGACCACCCGCAUCAAGAGAGUUCAAUUUUGUUGGCGGCAUGGAAAGUGAGAGUU